GCGUGUUCAGUGGAAAAAGAAGAUGGAGUCUGGGGUGUUCAAUAAGAACAAACGAAAAUUGAAGUUUUUGGAGAGGAGAAGUGUGGUGAUAGAGAAAAAGAGGUGUUGGUAUUAACUGAAAGUGAAAAAAAUGGAGUAUUUGGAGAGGAGUAAGUAUGGCAGUAGUGAGAGAGAAGAAGAGAGAGAGUGAGGGGGGGGGGGGAUUCAGUGUAGUGACAGAGGAAGAGGAAAUAGUGGAGAGGGUGGAGGGUGGGGUGUUUAGAGGAGUGAUUUGCAAUAUUAUUAUUUUUUACAUAUAUUUUUUAAUUUAGCUAUUUGAUUUCAU
rnacentral:lncRNA from 1 species